ensembl:antisense 4930439D14Rik RIKEN cDNA 4930439D14 gene
GGUUCAGGACGGACAGGUGGGGCCCCGCGGCUGCUCCCCGCACGGGUCUCGUUGGCGCCUGGGACGCGGGCGUUGCUCCCCGCUCGGGCCAGAGGACAAAAGUCUGGAAACGCUUGGCCCCCAGAUCAAAUACCCAGCCCGUGAGGGCGGCGUCCUUAGGAGUCGUGGCGGACAAGUGGAGGGGGACUGCAAAUGUGAAGAGUCACCCCACAGCCGUGGGAUCUUAAAUGAUGGAGUCUGCACUCUAGCACAUCAUCAUGCCGGAAGUGUUGGGUCGGCCUCUAGGUGUUAAGCAGGGUGGCUGCCGGUGGUUUAAGGAGCAAAUAACAAUAUUUGGGAUCCCCUAGUCCCGGAUUGAU